CUUCUUCUGGUGCUUUCUGUAGGUGAGCCCAGCGUACAGUUUAUCUCUUCCCAUCUCUAAAUUGGAGCUAAUGAGAAGGAAGAAGCCCGUGCAGAAGUCGCAAUAACAGAGCGUACUUCAUGUUGUGACAGAUCCAAAGAGAGUUGAGAGAAGAGAUCCAAAGAGAGCCACUGUGCUCAUGCAGUUUGAGCAAUGUUGGGUUUGUCCACUUUCUGCUCCAAACUAGAACAUCAGGGAUCUAUUCCCCACAAGGCUUGCUGGUCCUUUUAUUCUAAGGAGAUCUACUCUGUAUAGGAACAGAUCCAGGCUCCUGCUGUGAAAAGAAGCACUUGGCAUUUUCCUCCAGGAAUGACAUCCUACUGUGGAUGGUCUGCAAGUCUUCCCUAUGCUGCUGCUUUUCCUCUGAGAAUCAUAUUGCAGCUGCUGGCAAGGAGAAUAACAAGCUGUUUUUCUUGUGCAAUUCAACCAGUCCUUUUGAUGCUUUCAUGGGCCAGAUCUACAAAUGCAAUGAAUGGACUCUGCCAAGAGAAGGGUGCCUCCCCCUGAUUUCACGUGCAUUCCUCAAGGUGAGCUGAAUAGAAAGCAGCUGAUCAGAUUGGAGGACUUCGUGCAGCUGAUAUUCAUUUGGAGCUGGACAAGGAGGUUUCAUUCUUGCAGAACACUGAGAGUACUCCAGAUAACUGAAUCAGUGAAGCUUUUUGGAAAGGACAGUGAAGUACCUCAUGGAAAGUCUCAGGGACACAGAAGGUUUGAGUACAGGGAAGACGAACCAAGGGCUCUCGUAAGGCAGGGUAUCCCCAAGUAAUAAGUAUUGCAGUUGAGGAACAAGGACCUUGCACAGAAUAAUAGAGAGACCAAAUCCCAUGAAUUCCAUGUCUGCACCAAGUAUUCAAGUAUAGUGAAUGCUGGGGAGAAGGGAAUUUGUCCAGGGCUGUAACAAAUGGUGACAGCAUUUGGAAGACUUCCAAGAGAAAUGCAAGUACAGGAUAAUAUAUACUUAUUUAAGAUGUACUCCCAGUUCAGGUUUUGGGCAAACCUCUUUUUGCUGCAGGUGCAUGGUCGGUGAUCAGAAAGUUAAUGCAGCAAAGCACCUCUUAUUAUCUUUGGCUCUCUUAUUCUAACUGGCUGUCAUUCAGAGAAUAGGAAGCUUAACACUGCAUGGAGAAUUGUCCUCUCCACCUGUCAGUGAUUCAUUUCACACAUUCAGUCACUAGGGACUCUGUAAGAGAUUCUGGUUGUUUUUCUAUCCUGUCUCAAACUAGGACUUACCGUCUGUAUUUUGUACUCGCUUCCAAAUUAAUGCUCAUAGUCUGUGGGAGAUAAAAUCUUUAUUACUUUUCUACUGUUUUAAUAAUGCUUUGGAACCGAAGAUAUUUACAUUUGUUGUGUUUGAACCAAAUAAUUUAUAGAUUUAAUUUUUUAAUACAUGUUAUUAAUCAUAUUAACACAAAUAAUCUUCAAGCAAGGUACGUACUUUUUCUAUAAUGCCUAAUGGAGGAAAAAAAAACAUAGUUUUUUUAUACCCUCUCCCCAGUGGUGGUAUACGCACAGAUUUCUUGUUUUUUUGACUGGCUAACCAAAGGUAGGACUAAGGAUUAAACCAAUGAUGUUACUUCUUUUGCCCACAUGAUGGACAACACUUUAUAACAACACUUUCUCUGAGAAAUCUUAGAGUGAGAAGAACAUCUUUGUUGACCUUGGUACAACUGAGAUCCUCAGGAAAUCUCAGUUCUGAGAAAACAGGAGGUCUCCAAGCUGCAGGUAAACUUUUUUUUUUUAAUGUUGUUUCCAACCCCUCCUAUUCAAGUUUCCUGUGUUGAUCAGAGGCUUUACUUAAUUUUUUUUUAACGGGAUUUGUAAAAGAGCAAGAUAUUUGGGAAUAAAGGUAAGAAGAGAAAGGUGGCUGAGAUCCAAAAUGAAAAGAACAAUGUUAUUGGUGAGAAAGUAGCUGGAAAAGAAGAAAAAGUAAUUCACUGUCUAAUUGAGAGAAUUAGACAGUAUCUAAGUGAGAGAAGGAGGGAAUAGGAAUUUGAAUGGGGAAACAUCUAAAAGAUUUGAGGAAGGAGAAAUGGAGGUGAUAAGGUGUUAUGGACCCAGUAUACUGGAAGUGGAUUUAUUGGUGCACUAGCAGGGACUCGAAUGAAUAAAGCAUUGAAGAGAAAUGAGAAGGGGAAUAGGGCAGAAAAGGACAGAGAAUAGUCUUUAAAUAAGAGAAAGUCUGUCUUUGAAGUAAUAGGGAAGAAAAGCAAGGAAACAAAUAUUGAGGAAAGGCUGCUGGAAAAUGUAGAAAUUCAGAGACUGGCAUUUUACCCAGAGCCUGAGUUUGAUAAGAAUGGAGAUGAUACAUGAUGCCACAUAAAAGCCAAAACCCCAUAAAUGUUUAAGGAUCAGCACCCUAAAAGAAAGAGCUUAGGUCAGUGUGCCACAGGCACUGCUCUAGAGAAGAGAGUUAACUAAUAACUUAAAUAUCUGUCCAUAAUAUGUGUAAAAAAACACUGUUCUAUCAUGGGGAAUUUCCAUCUGAGUAUCUUGUACCGCUAGUCUCAUGCUGCCAGUAAUAAAAUGUCCUUGGAAUUUUUAAAUGUUACAGAUGACAGUUUCUUAAAUCAAAAUGUGCUGUAUCCAGCUCUGGGGACUUCUGUAUUAGACUAUAUCUUGACAGACAAAGAGAGAUUCAUUAGUAGACCAAGU